AUUCGCCUUUCUGUCAGUCCAGCACUCCUGCUUGUGGAGGGGUCGAACAAAAUCAAGGGACCAAUACAAGUCCUAGCACCACACACAAAAGAAAAAGGAGCAACACAACGAAAAUCAAAAGAGCACGCCUAGACACUACCAGUAGCAAGGAUGGAGAACGCGCACACGAAGACGCCGGCAGAAUGCCUGGCCUUCUUCGGGGUGAACAUGGACACCGGUCUCACCCCAGACCAAGUCAAGAAGAACCUGGCCAAGUAUGGCCCCAAUGCACUGCCAGCUGAGGAGGGUAAGACCACCUGGGAGCUGAUUGUGGAGCAGUUUGAGGAUCUGUUGGUCAGAAUCCUGCUGCUGGCUGCCUGCAUCUCUUUUGUGCUGGCUUGGUUUGAGGAAGGUGAGGAGACCGUCACUGCCUUUGUUGAGCCCUUCGUCAUCCUCCUCAUCCUUAUCGCUAACGCUGUUGUUGGAGUGUGGCAGGAGCGCAAUGCUGAGGACGCCAUCGAAGCUCUGAAGGAAUACGAGCCUGAGAUGGGCAAAGUCUUCCGUACUGACAGAAGGAGCGUGCAGAAGAUCAAGGCCAAUGUGAUGGUUCCUGGUGAUAUUGUGGAGGUGUCCGUCGGUGACAAAGUCCCCGCUGACAUCAGGAUUGUUGCCAUCCGUUCCACCACUCUCCGCAUUGACCAGUCCAUUCUUACUGGUGAGUCCGUCAGUGUGAUUAAGCAUACUGAAUCCGUCCCCGACCCCAGAGCCGUCAACCAGGACAAGAAGAACAUGCUUUUCUCUGGCACCAACGUCGCUGCCGGCAGAGCCAUUGGCGUGGUUGUGGCUACCGGCGUCUCCACCGAGAUUGGCAAGAUCCGCGACCAGAUGGUCGCCACCGAGCAAGAGAAGACCCCCCUGCAGGCCAAGCUGGAUGAGUUCGGCGAGCAGCUGUCCAAGGUCAUCUCCCUGAUCUGUGUUGCCGUGUGGGCGAUCAACAUUGGCCACUUCAACGAUCCCGUCCAUGGAGGUUCCUGGAUCCGUGGUGCCGUCUACUACUUCAAGAUCGCCAUUGCCCUGGCUGUGGCCGCCAUACCUGAGGGUUUGCCCGCUGUCAUCACUACCUGCCUGGCUCUCGGUACCCGCCGUAUGGCCAAGAAGAACGCCAUUGUCCGCUCUCUGCCCUCUGUGGAGACCCUGGGUUGCACCUCCGUCAUCUGCUCUGACAAGACCGGAACCCUGACCACCAACCAGAUGUGUGUGACCAAGAUGUUCAUCAUCAAGAAUGUCGACGGCGACCAUGUCAACCUGGACAUGUUCGACAUCUCCGGCUCCAAGUACACCCCCGAGGGAGAGGUCUCCCAGGGAGGUGCUAAGACCCCCUGCGGAUCCUACGAUGGCCUUGUUGAGCUGGCAACCAUCAGCGCCCUGUGCAAUGACUCCUCUCUGGACUACAACGAUUCCAAGAAGAUCUAUGAGAAAGUGGGCGAGGCCACCGAGACUGCCAUGUGCUGCCUGGUUGAAAAGAUGAACGUGUUCAACUCCAAAGUUACAGGCCUCUCCAAGCCUGAUAGAGCCAAUGCCUGUUGUGCUGUGAUCAAGCAGCUGAUGAAGAAGGAAUUCACCCUGGAGUUCUCCCGCGACAGGAAGUCCAUGUCUGUGUACUGCACCCCCUCCAAGGGCGAUGGUGGAGCUAAGAUGUUUGUGAAGGGUGCCCCCGAGGGUGUGAUUGACAGAUGUGCCUAUGUUCGCGUUGGCACCACCCGCAUUCCCCUGACUAGUGCCGUCAAGGAAAAGAUUUUGGCUGUGAUCAAGGAAUGGGGUUGCGGCCGCGAUACCCUGCGUUGCCUGGCACUUGCCACCCGUGACACCCCCCUGAAAGUCGAGGAGAUGAAGCUUGAGGAUGCCACCAAGUUCAUUGAUUACGAGACUGACCUGACCUUUGUUGGCUGCGUUGGUAUGCUGGAUCCCCCACGUAAAGAGGUUACACCCGCCAUUCUGUUGUGCAAAGCUGCUGGAAUCCGUGUCAUCAUGAUCACUGGUGACAACAAGGGAACCGCAGUGGCCAUCUGCCGUCGUAUUGGCAUCUUCACAGAGGACGAGGAUGUGACUGGAAAGGCCUUCACUGGCCGUGAGUUCGACGACCUGCCCUCAUUUGAAAUGCAAAGCGAUGCUGUCAGAAACGCUAGCUGCUACGCCCGUGUGGAGCCCUCCCACAAGUCCAAGAUCGUUGGGUUCCUGCAGGGCCAAGAUGAGAUUACCGCCAUGACCGGUGAUGGUGUGAACGAUGCCCCCGCCCUAAAGAAGGCCGAGAUCGGCAUCGCCAUGGGCUCUGGCACUGCCGUUGCCAAGUCUGCCUCUGAGAUGGUCCUGGCUGACGACAACUUCUCUUCCAUCGUGUCCGCCGUCGAGGAGGGCCGCGCCAUCUACAACAACAUGAAGCAGUUCAUCCGCUACCUCAUCUCCUCCAAUGUUGGUGAGGUCGUCUGUAUCUUCCUGACUGCUGCCCUGGGUCUGCCCGAGGCUCUUAUCCCCGUCCAGCUGCUGUGGGUCAACCUGGUGACUGACGGUCUCCCUGCCACCGCCCUGGGCUUCAACCCCCCCGACCUGGACAUCAUGGGCCGCCGCCCCCGUUCCGCCAAGGAGCCCCUGAUCUCCGGCUGGCUGUUCUUCAGAUAUAUGGUCAUUGGAGGAUAUGUCGGUGCCGCCACUGUCGCAGCUGCCGUCUGGUGGUUCAUGUAUGAUUCCACCGGCCCCGGAGUCACCUUCCACCAGCUGUCCCACUUCAUGCAGUGCCACGACGACAACGAAGACUUCGUCGGCAUUACAUGCAAGGUGUUCGAGGCCUCUCCCCCUAUGACGAUGGCUCUGUCCGUGUUGGUCACCAUUGAGAUGUCCAACGCCCUCAACAGGUCAGACGCAGAAUGCACACGCACAGGCACAUGCACAGACACACACUCAUACACAUACAGAUGCAAGAGCACAGACACACAAGCACACACACAGGCAUGCACUGUUGCACACACACACACACACACACACACGUACACGCAUAUACAGAUGCAAGAGCACAGACACACAAGCACACGCAGAGGCAUGCACUCGCGUACACACACACACACACACAUACACACACACACACACACACUAAUCAUGUGAUGUUAAAUUGUCUCCUUUAACCCCCCUCCCUUACAGCUUGUCUGAGAACCAGUCUCUGGUGCGCAUGCCCCCAUGGAGCAACUUGUGGCUGGUUGGAGCCAUGGCUCUCUCCAUGUCCCUCCACUUCAUGAUCAUCUACGUCGACCCCCUGCCCAUGGUCUUCAAGUUGACUCACUUGAACGUGGAGCAAUGGUUGAUUGUCCUGAAACUCUCUUUCCCUGUCAUCCUGAUUGACGAGGUGUUGAAGUUUGUCGCCCGUAACUACCUGGAGAAAAAAUAGAAAUCUAGAAGAAGAGGAAUUAGAGAGGUGGAGAAAGGGAGGACGAGGAGGAGAAGAUUGAAAACGAUGACGUUCACAACCAAUGAAUGAGGAGCUCUUGUGAGCCAACCAAUAGAACAGAGGGGACAGAACAGGAAAGUCAACGAGAAAAAAAAAAAAACAAUUUUAAAAAUGCACAUAAAACAACCUCUGUAUAUGGAAAGAGAUUCAAUUGGAUUGGGGUUUUACUCCACCAAAACAAUAUUCAAAUAUUUAAGAUUUUAUUCAUAGAAAUAAUGUAUUAAAAAGAGAUUUUUUGUUAAACUUGGA